GAUAUCUGGGUAAAAGACUUUUGUUGGAAGCUGCAUACUGUCACCUGCAAGAGAAGAUGGGAACCUGUACAGCACCAAUAACAAUGAAUGGGAGACAAAGAUCCACAUGCCAGUCUGGGGCUCUCUGGUCUGGGCCUGGAAGAGAAAACGCGGGCCCAUUCAGUGCCUGAUGGACUCUUUUAUGGGGACAGACUUCCAGGCUCUGCAGAAGAGGAUGUGCCAAUAUCGGAUGCCCAGAGGCAAGCAACUGUGAUCCACAAGUCUCCCACUGAAGAAGGUCUUCAACUAGGGUAACAGCUUCCUCUGGGGCUGGAUGAGGAGUCUGAAGUUAUGGAUAGAAAAGCUGCUCAAUACCUAAGAUACACGUACCUUUUUGUACUUAGAAUAGUGAGAAGAUAAUGCACGUUUCAUAAUUCUAGGGAAAAAUGCCUUUUAUAUCACUUAUUGAAGCACUACACCACCAUUGGGAAGUUGUGACCAAAUUUGGAGAUUUUUGUUUUUCUUUCAAUGUCAAAGAUCUUGCUGGUUUAUUUUAGGGGGAAAAAAAAAUCAUAAACCUAAGAUUAGUAUGAAAUCUGGCCCAUUCCUCGAACAAUAGAGUUUUAACGACCUGUGCUUUCUGCCUCCCAGGUGUACAGGCAAGGACUAACCCACCAGCUGUCACCCUGAAAGACUAUCUGCUCUUUCAGAUAUUUUUCUCUUUGUUUACCAAGUGAAGAGGAGGUUAAGCCAACAGACAAAAAGUAGUUUAAAAAAAUACACUGUUGUUCUAUUUUAUUAUGAAAAAAUUAGAACAAGUUCAGGGAUUGAAACCUAACUGCUAGGGGCGGGAGGCCUGCUUGAGUCUUCGGGCUUCACACUGACCAGCAGCUACCCUUGUCAGUAUCUCCGGGUGCCACAAAAUAACCAAAAAAGAAGGAGAAUAUUGAAAACAAUCGAAUUUUUGCCCCUGAGUGUAUCAGUGUUAAGGAAGGACAAAAUCAUGACCUCUGAGCUCAGGGAGGGGACCACCCGCCCCCUCCCUGAGCUCAGAGGGUAAGGACGGAAUUUGUCAGACAUUCCCUAAGAGUGGGAAGGCAGGCAAAAAGACGGCCCCCAGCUCUAAUUAGCAGGCCUUAUGACUCACCAAGUUGGCACAACUACUGUUCACCUAAUUUCCAACGAAAACAAAAUGCUGCUGGCAAGGCAUGUCCAAGACCUAAUGACACUUUCAAGUACACAUGGUAUCAAUAAAAUAAACCAUCCACUUGGAAUGACUACAGAGAAUUUUGUGCUGAAUAGUUCCAGCUAAGAAGAGUUAAUUGUCUGAAAAGCGAGUGAAAACAAGAAGAGGUGAAUUUUGAGCCACAGAAAACCAUUUAAGAAAUGACUUACACUUCUCAAGUUUCUGCUGCUUGUAACUUUAUCCGUAAGUGAUUUGCUGGUGGGCCAUGUACAAACGUCUAUAAAGUACGUGCUGCAGGAGAAGGAAAAUGGUUCUUUAGGUUUCAGGACCAUGAGGCAACACUUGAUAUGCCAAACAGUGGUUUUGAACCAUAAUCUGGCCUGCAAAACACCAGAAUGUUCUGACACACGAUCCACCUGAAAUCAGGCCUGGCAGGGGCGAACACUGAACACCUGUAAUGGAUUCAAACCACCCUAAGACCUCAGAGGGCAGAAGGGCUUGAGCCCAGGAGCCCCAGACAGUGUAGUAAGAUUCGGUCUCAAACAACUCAAAAAGGAAACAGGGGCUGAUGAAGGAAUGCUGGGUAGAAUGGUAACGUUGCAUCAGAGAUUACAUCUCAACAAGACAGAGUUCCGGCCUGCGAUUGGCCAUCCCAACGUCUCAGUGUCUCCCAAGAGAAAGUGGAGACCCUGUUGCCUGACCCCAAGCUCAGAGCCUGGUUUGCUAGACCACCUAACCCCUCCCUGCUUUUCCUGCUUUCUUCAUCUGCACAAUUCUGCCACUCAAAGCUGGAGAGAUCUUAUGUGCUUCUUCCAAGAACUUUUCAUCUAGCAAACCCUGUGUGCACCACCGCCAAUCCAUUUCUUUGUAACCCCCACUUUGUUGAAUGAAACAUCCUUACCACUCCAGGCCUCUACUCCUGCUCAAAGGCGCUGGUUUUUAUACGUGGUGCCACUCUGCCAUGAGGUAUUCCCCUCACCUGUGUGCUGUGCUUUAUUGUGAUUAUUCAACUUUUUCUCUCACCAGCUCACAAAUCUCACCUUUAAUUUCACUACUGGAUCCCUAGUGCCUAUUGUUGGGCCUGCCUGGCACCUGCGAAGGGCUCAUCAGAUACCCGAUGAGUGCACUGAACAAAUACAAUUCAUUUUAAACUGUGUGCUCUCAAAAAUGAGUAGCAUGCUUACUUCUCCCCGUGACAUGAAUUAGGUAAAAUGAAAACACAACAUCAUUUCAGUGCCCCGAGAAACAUGUAACACGUUUUUUUAUUUCAUGAAAAACAGACCUCAAAUUGAGUUCAUAAACAUUUGAUUAUAUGACAGUUACGAUGUUUUCUAUAGCCUCUUCUACAACAGCUUAAACUCACAGUGUCCAUUACUGCCUAGAAAUGGUAUAAGAGAAAUGACAUAAAAUAGACUCAUGAAACUAGACUCUGCUUCACAACUAUCCCUCAAUUUAAAUAUCUGUCUCUUACGUUUCUGCUCACUUGAGUUAAAGUUAUUUGACUCCUCCUAAUAGUCUCUAAAAUUAUAUGCGCACAUUUUUAUUUUUGUUUAUUUUUGAAUCAGGUAUAGAUUUCUUCUUGGAGUACUUUGCCUUGUAUUUGGCUAAUUUAUAAUUUGCCCCUAAACUAUGGCAUUUUUAAAAGCAUAUCUUUUAAAAAGCAAUAGCGUAUGCUUUGGACUAAUGACCCUAAUGCAGUAGCUAGCAGUAUUAAGUAGUAAAGGAUGUUGGUGGUCAAUGAUAAGGUCCCAUGGUGAAAACUGCAAGGUGCUCACCCUUGUUAGACUGAGAGCAGAGGCUGGGAUGAGAAGGAAGAUUGAAGAUUAACAGGCAAGGUCUGAAACACUGAGGAUGAUUAGUAGGAAGUCUUAGAGUUGGAUGUGAAAUAACUAGACUAGACAGAUGAGGGACAAGGGGUUCUGCACCACUAAAAGCAGACCAGCCUCCCCUCCCCCUUCACCCUGUCCUGGCUGGUUCCUUGUCAACUUGACACAAGUUUGAGUCACUUGAGAAGAGGGAACCAUUACUGGGAAAAUGCCCCCAUCGGACUGGCCUGUAUGCAAGCCUGUGGGCCAUUGCACUGAUUAAUAAUUGAUUUGGGAGGACCCGACCCAUUGGGGGUAAUGCCACCUCUGGGUUGGUGGUCCUGGGUAGUGUAAGAAAGGCUGAGCAAGCUGUGAGGAGCAAGCCAGUUUCUUCCAUGGUCUAUGUUUCACUUUCUGCCUUAAGGUUCAUACCUUGGGUUCCUGUCUUGGCUUCCCUCAACAGACUACGGCUUAGAAUAUGUAAGCCAAAUAAACCCUUUACUUCCCAGCUAGCUUUUGGUCAUGAUCUUUAUCAGAGCAAUAGAAGCAAAUGAAGACAUCCCUCAAACCCUUGAGGGACAUAUGUAAGCCACCAUCAGUCUCUCUUGAGGAGCAUAUGUAAGCCACCAUCGGUCUCUCUUGCAUUCUUGCUUGUUAUGCAGCUAACUGUAACAGACGAAAUUUUAAGGAUUGCUCCCAAUAAAAAAACUUCCACCUCAGAGACCUCAGACUACCCCAUAGAUGAGGAACUGAACACGAGAAAGACCAAAGCUACUGAAGCUUGGUGGCUGUGAUAGGGCUAAGUCUCUGCCACAGUAAAACUAUAAGCUGGUCACUUCAUGAGGACCAAGGAAGCUUAGUUUAAUUAAUGGCACUGGAGACACCUGCAAGGUCAGAUGGUAUUAACACUGACCAAGUGACUAAUAGUUACCAGUCAAUAACUAACAAAGUUGGAGGAAGAGACCCACAGAGGGGAGUUUCAACCACCUCUAACUGAGUAAGCACCAUGUGAACAGCUCGUGAACAUCUUCCUGGCUGGCCAGGCAGGGCAUGCACACAGUUUGUGAUUCUUGUACGUUUUCAGCCCAUGACAACACAGAUUAGCCAGUUUCAGUAGAGAUUACUUCAGCCUUUGUUCAGAUUCUGCCUUGGCCCUAUGGAAACCUCUCGACAAAGGAGUUCCAUGAUUUUUUUCCCUCUCCUGAAGGCCCUCCUACUCUUAGAGAUUUCUCUUACUUAAUGUAUCACUUUUCCAGAAAUCUUCUCAAUAAAGUUGAAUCUGCUCUGCACAGUC